rnacentral:rRNA from 3 species
AAAUUGAAGAGUUUGAUCAUGGCUCAGAUUGAACGCUGGCGGCAGGCCUAACACAUGCAAGUCGAACGGUAACAGGAAGCAGCUUGCUGCUUUGCUGACGAGUGGCGGACGGGUGAGUAAUGUCUGGGAAACUGCCUGAUGGAGGGGGAUAACUACUGGAAACGGUGGCUAAUACCGCAUAACGUCGCAAGACCAAAGAGGGGGACCUUCGGGCCUCUUGCCAUCAGAUGUGCCCAGAUGGGAUUAGCUUGUUGGUGAGGUAACGGCUCACCAAGGCGACGAUCCCUAGCUGGUCUGAGAGGAUGACCAGCCACACUGGAACUGAGACACGGUCCAGACUCCUACGGGAGGCAGCAGUGGGGAAUAUUGCACAAUGGGCGCAAGCCUGAUGCAGCCAUGCCGCGUGUAUGAAGAAGGCCUUCGGGUUGUAAAGUACUUUCAGCGGGGAGGAAGGUGUUGUGGUUAAUAACCGCAGCAAUUGACGUUACCCGCAGAAGAAGCACCGGCUAACUCCGUGCCAGCAGCCGCGGUAAUACGGAGGGUGCAAGCGUUAAUCGGAAUUACUGGGCGUAAAGCGCACGCAGGCGGUCUGUCAAGUCGGAUGUGAAAUCCCCGGGCUCAACCUGGGAACUGCAUUCGAAACUGGCAGGCUUGAGUCUUGUAGAGGGGGGUAGAAUUCCAGGUGUAGCGGUGAAAUGCGUAGAGAUCUGGAGGAAUACCGGUGGCGAAGGCGGCCCCCUGGACAAAGACUGACGCUCAGGUGCGAAAGCGUGGGGAGCAAACAGGAUUAGAUACCCUGGUAGUCCACGCCGUAAACGAUGUCUACUUGGAGGUUGUGCCCUUGAGGCGUGGCUUCCGGAGCUAACGCGUUAAGUAGACCGCCUGGGGAGUACGGCCGCAAGGUUAAAACUCAAAUGAAUUGACGGGGGCCCGCACAAGCGGUGGAGCAUGUGGUUUAAUUCGAUGCAACGCGAAGAACCUUACCUGGUCUUGACAUCCACGGAAGAAUUUCAGAGAUGGAUUUGUGCCUUCGGGAACCGUGAGACAGGUGCUGCAUGGCUGUCGUCAGCUCGUGUUGUGAAAUGUUGGGUUAAGUCCCGCAACGAGCGCAACCCUUAUCCUUUGUUGCCAGCGAUUCGGUCGGGAACUCAAAGGAGACUGCCAGUGAUAAACUGGAGGAAGGUGGGGAUGACGUCAAGUCAUCAUGGCCCUUACGACCAGGGCUACACACGUGCUACAAUGGCGCAUACAAAGAGAAGCGACCUCGCGAGAGCAAGCGGACCUCAUAAAGUGCGUCGUAGUCCGGAUUGGAGUCUGCAACUCGACUCCAUGAAGUCGGAAUCGCUAGUAAUCGUGGAUCAGAAUGCCACGGUGAAUACGUUCCCGGGCCUUGUACACACCGCCCGUCACACCAUGGGAGUGGGUUGCAAAAGAAGUAGGUAGCUUAACCUUCGGGAGGGCGCUUACCACUUUGUGAUUCAUGACUGGGGUGAAGUCGUAACAAGGUAACCGUAGGGGAACCUGCGGUUGGAUCACCUCCUUACCUUAAAGAA